CCUACGGGCGGCAGCAGUGGGGAAUAUUGCACAAUGGGCGCAAGCCUGAUGCAGCCAUGCCGCGUGUGUGAAGAAGGCCUUCGGGUUGUAAAGCACUUUCAGCGGGGAGGAAGGCGUUAAGGUUAAUAACCUUGGCGAUUGACGUUACCCGCAGAAGAAGCACCGGCUAACUCCGUGCCAGCAGCCGCGGUAAUACGGAGGGUGCAAGCGUUAAUCGGAAUUACUGGGCGUAAAGCGCACGCAGGCGGUCUGUCGAGUCGGAUGUGAAAUCCCCGGGCUCAACCGGGGAACUGCAUUCGAAACUGGCAGGCUAGAGUCUUGUAGAGGGGGGUAGAAUUCCAGGUGUAGCGGUGAAAUGCGUAGAGAUCUGGAGGAAUACCGGUGGCGAAGGCGGCCCCCUGGACAAAGACUGACGCUCAGGUGCGAAAGCGUGGGGAGCAAACAGGAUUAGAUACCCGGGUAGUC
rnacentral:rRNA from 1 species